rnacentral:rRNA from 1 species
AUGAUUUCUAGCUCACGCACGCCGCCGCCGCCGCGUCCGAUUUCUUCAGGAGCCCUACUCCGAAUACACCACUUCCCCAAGCCCCAUGUCCUAUAUAUACCCUGGGACCUCCUCUCCCAAUUCCCCUCGAAACCCUUCACCAAAACCCACCGUAUUGUCCGCUAUCGCCGUUCCAAUCUCGCCACAGAAGUUGCAGUUCAUCGCCGGAUUCCGACGCCGGUGAGACAUCCCGAGCCGUGCGGACGACUCGUGCACGACAGCACAUAUCAAGCCGUCCAUGCAUACUAUCCAGCGUAUAUCAGCGGCUGGACUGCCCGUCGUCCUAGUGUCGUGCACACAUGCAUCGUCUACGUAGCAGUUUCGAAUUUUGCACCUGUACGACUGUACUACUACCAUCGAAAAUCUUAUGCUUACGAGAUGGUUUCACGGAAGUGGGCUACGGGAUGUACGUGUCCCAUCCUUAUUAAUCCACUCUCCCGUGAAAUUCGCGAUGUGAGACUUCGUUAUGUCCUACUCCUACUACCAUUCAUCCCUUUCCCCAUUCUCAUUCUUCUCCCAUUCCUUUCUCUCUGUUCCUUACCUAAUCUAAGGAUUCGUCCACAAUUCGUUGCUAGAUCCUGCCAAGAAAAGAGGACGGGGGGAAGUGGGAUUUGGGGCAGAGUGCGGUGGCUGCAGCCUGCAAGCUCCCGGCGGCGGCACGUCGUCUAG